rnacentral:rRNA from 1 species
GGGANUUGCCAUGGGGGAACCCUGAUGCAGCCAUGCCGCGUGUGUGAAGAAGGCCUUCGGGUUGUAAAGCACUUUCAGCGAGGAGGAAAGGUUGGUAGCUAAUAACUGCCAGCUGUGACGUUACUCGCAGAAGAAGCACCGGCUAACUCCGUGCCAGCAGCCGCGGUAAUACGGAGGGUGCAAGCGUUAAUCGGAAUUACUGGGCGUAAAGCGCACGCAGGCGGUUGGAUAAGUUAGAUGUGAAAGCCCCGGGCUCAACCUGGGAAUUGCAUUUAAAACUGUCCAGCUAGAGUCUUGUAGAGGGGGGUAGAAUUCCAGG